GACGAUGGCUGGGGUGAAACAAAUAUGCACUCACAGACUUUAAAAAUUGUGUGUCUCUGCUUUUUUCCAGAAAUGCAUGUUAUUGGGCAAAUUGUGUAGACUGUCAAUGGAGUGACAGAAAGAUUUCAUCAAAAAUAUCUUCAGUUGUGUUCCCCGUGUCUUGUGGGGUUGGAAUGACAUGAGGACUACUUCCAAAAUUGUGUUUCCACAUCUGAGAUGAAGGCAGUGAAAAGAACGAAGUGGAAUAAGAAUAAGCUCUUCAAAAAACACAACUUCUCUGAAUAAUGUGGGGGAAGAUGUUUGCAUGAUUUGUAAAUAAACACUUUAAAUACA